AGAGUUUGAUCCUGGCUCAGGACGAACGCUGGCGGCACGCCUAACACAUGCAAGUCGAGCGGAGAUUGAGAGCUUGCUCUCAUGAUCAGCGGCGGACGGGUGAGUAACACGUGAGCAACCUGCCUUUCAGAGGGGGACAACAGUUGGAAACGACUGCUAAUACCGCAUAACAUUGCCGAACGGCAUCGUUUGGCAAUCAAAGGAGCAAUCCGCUGAAAGAUGGGCUCGCGUCUGAUUAGAUAGUUGGUGAGGUAACGGCUCACCAAGUCGACGAUCAGUAGCCGGACUGAGAGGUUGAUCGGCCACAUUGGGACUGAGACACGGCCCAGACUCCUACGGGAGGCAGCAGUGGGGGAUAUUGGACAAUGGGGGAAACCCUGAUCCAGCGAUGCCGCGUGAGGGAAGAAGGUUUUCGGAUUGUAAACCUCUGUGGACAGGGACGAUAAUGACGGUACCUGUUUAGAAAGCCACGGCUAACUACGUGCCAGCAGCCGCGGUAAUACGUAGGUGGCGAGCGUUGUCCGGAAUUACUGGGUGUAAAGGGAGUGUAGGCGGGAAGGCAAGUCAGAAGUGAAAAUUAUGGGCUUAACCCAUAACCUGCUUUUGAAAACUGUUUUUCUUGAGUGAGGCAGAGGCAAGCGGAAUUUCCUAGGUGUAGCGGUGAAAAUGCGUAGAUAUUAGGAGGGAACACCAGUGGCGAAAGCGGCUUUGCUGGGCCUUUACUGACGCUGAGGCUCGAAAGCGUGGGGGAGCAAAACAGGAUUAGAUACCCUGGUAGUCCACGCCGUAAACGAUGAGAACUAGGUGUUGGGGGAAUAACUCAGUGCCGCAGUUAACGCAAUAAGUUCUCCGCCUGGGGAGUAUGCACGCAAGUGUGAAACUCAAAGGAAUUGACGGGGGCCCGCACAAGCGGUGGAGUAUGUGGUUUAAUUCGAAGCAACGCGAAGAACCUUACCAGGCCUUGACAUCCCUUGCAGAGGUAUAGAGAUAUAUCCGAGGUUACCAAGGAGACAGGUGGUGCAUGGUUGUCGUCAGCUCGUGUCGUGAGAUGUUGGGUUAAGUCCCGCAACGAGCGCAACCCUUGUGAUAUGUUACUAACAUUGAGUUGAGGACUCAUAUCAGACUGCCGGUGAUAAACCGGAGGAAGGUGGGGAUGACGUCAAAUCAUCAUGCCCCUUAUGGCCUGGGCUACACACGUACUACAAUGGCGUCUACAAAGAGCGGCAAGCCUGUGAAGGCAAGCGAAUCUCAUAAAGGACGUCUCAGUUCGGAUUGAAGUCUGCAACCCGACUUCAUGGAGCUGGAAUCGCUAGUAAUCGCGAAUCAGCAUGUCGCGGUGAAUACGUUCUCGGGCCUUGUACUCACCGCCCGUCAA
rnacentral:rRNA from 1 species